GAUUCAGUGGUGUAGGGGUAUCAUGGGCGCUUGCCAUUCCAGCGAGUGUGCGCCCGACCCGGGUUCGACUCCCGGCUGAAUCA